rnacentral:rRNA from 1 species
AUUGAACGCUGGCGGAAUGCUUUACACAUGCAAGUCGAACGGCAGCACGGACUUCGGUCUGGUGGCGAGUGGCGAACGGGUGAGUAAUGUAGCGGAACGGGCCCAGUCGGGGGGGAUAACGUAGUGAAAAUUACGCUAAUACCGCAUACGAUCUAUGAAUGACAGCGGGGGAUCGCAAGACCUCGCGCGAUUGGAGCGGCCGAUAUCAGAUUAGGUAGUUGGUGGGGUCAAGGCCCACCAAGCCAACGAUCUGUAGCUGGUCUGAGAGGACGACCAGCCACAGUGGAACUGAGACACGGUCCAGACUCCUACGGGAGGCAGCAGUGGGGAAUUUUGGACAAUGGGCGAAAGCCUGAUCCAGCCAUUCCGCGUGCAGGAUGAAGGCCCUCGGGUUGUAAACUGCUUUUGUACAGAACGAAAAGGUUUCUGCUAAUACUAGGAGCUCAUGACGGUACUGUAAGAAUAAGCACCGGCUAACUACGUGCCAGCCGCCGCAGUAA